GGUUAAGCGACUAAGCGUACACGGUGGAUGCCCUGGCAGUCAGAGGCGAUGAAGGACGUGCUAAUCUGCGAUAAGCGUCGGUAAGGUGAUAUGAACCGUUAUAACCGGCGAUUUCCGAAUGGGGAAACCCAGUGUGAUUCGUCACACUAUCAUUAACUGAAUCCAUAGGUUAAUGAGGCGAACCGGGGAACUGAAACAUCUAAGUACCCCGAGGAAAAGAAAUCAACCGAGAUUCCCCCAGUAGCGGCGAGCGAACGGGGAGCAGCCCAGAGCCUGAAUCAGUGUGUGUGUUAGUGGAAGCGUCUGGAAAGGCGCGCGAUACAGGGUGACAGCCCCGUACACAAAAAUGCACAUGCUGUGAGCUCGAUGAGUAGGGCGGGACACGUGGUAUCCUGUCUGAAUAUGGGGGACCAUCCUCCAAGGCUAAAUACUCCUGACUGACCGAUAGUGAACCAGUACCGUGAGGGAAAGGCGAAAAGAACCCCGGCGAGGGGAGUGAAAAAGAACCUGAAACCGUGUACGUACAAGCAGUGGGAGCACGCUUAGGCGUGUGACUGCGUACCUUUUGUAUAAUGGGUCAGCGACUUAUAUUCUGUAGCAAGGUUAACCGAAUAGGGGAGCCGAAGGGAAACCGAGUCUUAACUGGGCGUUAAGUUGCAGGGUAUAGACCCGAAACCCGGUGAUCUCAGCCAUGGGCAGGUUGAAGGUUGGGUAACACUAACUGGAGGACCGAACCGACUAAUGUUGAAAAAUUAGCGGAUGACUUGUGGCUGGGGGUGAAAGGCCAAUCAAACCGGGAGAUAGCUGGUUCUCCCCGAAAGCUAUUUAGGUAGCGCCUCGUGAAUUCAUCUCCGGGGUAGAGCACUGUUUCGGCAAGGGGGUCAUCCCGACUUACCAACCCGAUGCAAACUGCGAAUACCGGAGAAUGUUAUCACGGGAGACACACGGCGGGUGCUAACGUCCGUCGUGAAGAGGGAAACAACCCAGACCGCCAGCUAAGGUCCCAAAGUCAUGGUUAAGUGGGAAACGAUGUGGGAAGGCCCAGACAGCCAGGAUGUUGGCUUAGAAGCAGCCAUCAUUUAAAGAAAGCGUAAUAGCUCACUGGUCGAGUCGGCCUGCGCGGAAGAUGUAACGGGGCUAAACCAUGCACCGAAGCUGCGGCAGCGACGCUGAUGCGUUGUUGGGUAGGGGAGCGUUCUGUAAGCCUGCGAAGGUGUGCUGUGAGGCAUGCUGGAGGUAUCAGAAGUGCGAAUGCUGACAUAAGUAACGAUAAAGCGGGUGAAAAGCCCGCUCGCCGGAAGACCAAGGGUUCCUGUCCAACGUUAAUCGGGGCAGGGUGAGUCGACCCUAAGGCGAGGCCGAAAGGCGUAGUCGAUGGGAAACAGGUUAAUAUUCCUGUACUUGGUGUUACUGCGAAGGGGGACGGAGAAGGCUAUGUUGGCCGGGCGACGGUUGUCCCGGUUUAAGCGUGUAGGCUGGUUUUCCAGGCAAAUCCGGAAAAUCAAGGCUGAGGCGUGAUGACGAGGCACUACGGUGCUGAAGCAACAAAUGCCCUGCUUCCAGGAAAAGCCUCUAAGCAUCAGGUAACAUCAAAUCGUACCCCAAACCGACACAGGUGGUCAGGUAGAGAAUACCAAGGCGCUUGAGAGAACUCGGGUGAAGGAACUAGGCAAAAUGGUGCCGUAACUUCGGGAGAAGGCACGCUGAUAUGUAGGUGAAGUCCCUCGCGGAUGGAGCUGAAAUCAGUCGAAGAUACCAGCUGGCUGCAACUGUUUAUUAAAAACACAGCACUGUGCAAACACGAAAGUGGACGUAUACGGUGUGACGCCUGCCCGGUGCCGGAAGGUUAAUUGAUGGGGUCAGCGCAAGCGAAGCUCUUGAUCGAAGCCCCGGUAAACGGCGGCCGUAACUAUAACGGUCCUAAGGUAGCGAAAUUCCUUGUCGGGUAAGUUCCGACCUGCACGAAUGGCGUAAUGAUGGCCGGGCUGUCUCCACCCGAGACUCAGUGAAAUUGAACUCGCUGUGAAGAUGCAGUGUACCCGCGGCAAGACGGAAAGACCCCGUGAACCUUUACUAUAGCUUGACACUGAACAUUGAGCCUUGAUGUGUAGGAUAGGUGGGAGGCUUUGAAGUGUGGACGCCAGUCUGCAUGGAGCCGACCUUGAAAUACCACCCUUUAAUGUUUGAUGUUCUAACGUGGACCCGUAAUCCGGGUUGCGGACAGUGUCUGGUGGGUAGUUUGACUGGGGCGGUCUCCUCCUAAAGAGUAACGGAGGAGCACGAAGGUUGGCUAAUCCUGGUCGGACAUCAGGAGGUUAGUGCAAUGGCAUAAGCCAGCUUGACUGCGAGCGUGACGGCGCGAGCAGGUGCGAAAGCAGGUCAUAGUGAUCCGGUGGUUCUGAAUGGAAGGGCCAUCGCUCAACGGAUAAAAGGUACUCCGGGGAUAACAGGCUGAUACCGCCCAAGAGUUCAUAUCGACGGCGGUGUUUGGCACCUCGAUGUCGGCUCAUCACAUCCUGGGGCUGAAGUAGGUCCCAAGGGUAUGGCUGUUCGCCAUUUAAAGUGGUACGCGAGCUGGGUUUAGAACGUCGUGAGACAGUUCGGUCCCUAUCUCGCCGUGGGCGCUGGAGAACUGAGGGGGCUGCUCCUAGUACGAGAGGACCGGAGUGGACGCAUCACUGGUGUUCGGGUUGUCAUGCCAAUGGCACUGCCCGGUAGCUAAAUGCGGAAGAGAUAAGUGCUGAAAGCAUCUAAGCACGAAACUUGCCCCGAGAUGAGUUCUCCCUGACUCCUUGAGAGUCCUGAAGGAACGUUGAAGACGACGACGUUGAUAGGCCGGGUGUGUAAGCGCAGCGAUGCGUUGAGCUAACCGGUACUAAUGAACCGUGAGGCUUAACCUU
rnacentral:rRNA from 1 species